rnacentral:tRNA from 1 species
GUCUCUGUGGCACAAUUGUUAUAGCAUUCAGCUCUUGACUGAAAGGUUGGUGGUUCAAGCCCACCCAAGGAUG